rnacentral:rRNA from 1 species
GGCUUCUCCUUCGGGAGCAGAGUGACAGGUGGUGCAUGGUUGUCGUCAGCUCGUGUUGUGAGAUGUUGGGUUAAGUCCCGCAACGAGCGCAACCCUUGAUCUUAGUUGCCAUCAUUAAGUUGGGCACUCUAAGGUGACUGCCGGUGACAAACCGGAGGAAGGUGGGGAUGACGUCAAAUCAUCAUGCCCCUUAUGACCUGGGCUACACACGUGCUACAAUGGACGGUACAAAGAGCUGCAAGACCGCGAGGUGGAGCUAAUCUCAUAAAACCGUUCUCAGUUCGGAUUGUAGGCUGCAACUCGCCUACAUGAAGCUGGAAUCGCUAKKAAUCGCGGAUCAGCAUGCCGCGGUGAAUACGUUCCCGGGUCUUGUACACA